AUUGAACGCUGGCGGCAGGCCUAACACAUGCAAGUCGAGCGAGCGGCGGACGGGUAAGUAAUGUCUGGGGACUGCCCGAUAGAGGGGGAUAACUACUGGAAACGGUAGCUAAUACCGCAUACUAUCGGAUCACCCAUAUGGGCUUAGCUAGUAGGUGCGGUAAUGGCUCACCUAGGCGACGAUCCCUAGCUGGUCUGAGAGGAUGAUCAGCCACACUGGAACUGAGACACGGUCCAGACUCCUACGGAGGCAGCAGUGGGGAAUAUUGCACAAUGGGCGCAAGCCUGAUACAGCCAUGCCGCGUGAAUGAAGAAGGCCUUCGGGUUGUAAAGCACUUUCAGUCGGGAGGCGUUACCGACAGAAGAAGCACCGGCUAACUCCGUGCCAGCAGCCGCGGUAAUUC
rnacentral:rRNA from 1 species